CCAGAUGUUUCACUCUGCUCUGUUAAGUCAUAUUGACAUACUGCCAUGAAAUAGAAACAACUGCUAGUUUCAACAUUGCUCUGUAUCUUUAUUAAGAGAGUCAUCAAUCUCUUGAGAGUCAUCUUGCCAUCUGUACCAGCAUUGCUCCAGGCUUCCAUAUGAAAGUCCAAUCUGGCGGUAUAAAUACUGGAUAAUGAAGACACUGGCAGAGUCUUUACGCUGCACACCACUGCUGACCCCAGAAGUGACCCACAGGAACUACUGGCAAAAGGAGCGAAAAGGUAUUUCAGCUUGUAGGCAUUAGAAACUCUCUUCAUUAAUAGCCUUUUUGCAGACUUUUCAGAUAGAUUUCCUGUCAUUGUGAUGAGGAUAUAUUUGUAACGAGUCCC